rnacentral:rRNA from 1 species
GCGUCGACGGGUAGCCGGCCUGAGAGGGUGACCGGCCACACUGGGACUGAGACACGGCCCAGACUCCUACGGGAGGCAGCAGUGGGGAAUAUUGCACAAUGGGCGGAAGCCUGAUGCAGCAACGCCGCGUGAGGGAUGACGGCCUUCGGGUUGUAAACCUCUUUUAGCAGGGAAGAAGCGAAAGUGACGGUACCUGCAGAAAAAGCGCCGGCUAACUACGUGCCAGCAGCCGCGGUAAUACGUAGGGCGCAAGCGUUAUCCGGAAUUAUUGGGCGUAAAGAGCUCGUAGGCGGUUUGUCGCGUCUGCUGUGAAAUCCCGAGGCUCAACCUCGGGCCUGCAGUGGGUACGGGCAGACUAGAGUGCGGUAGGGGAGAUUGGAAUUCCUGGUGUAGCGGUGGAAUGCGCAGAUAUCAGGAGGAACACCGAUGGCGAAGGCAGAUCUCUGGGCCGUAACUGACGCUGAGGAGCGAAAGGGUGGGGAGCAAACAGGCUUAGAUACCCUGGUAGUCCACCCCGUAAACGUUGGGAACUAGUUGUGGGGACCAUUCCACGGUUUCCGUGACGCAGCUAACGCAUUAAGUUCCCCGCCU